rnacentral:rRNA from 1 species
AUACGGAGGGUGCGAGCGUUAAUCGGAAUUACUGGGCGUAAAGCGUACGUAGGCGGUUGGUUAAGUUAGAUGUGAAAGCCCCGGGCUUAACCUGGGAACUGCAUUUAAAACUGGCGAACUAGAGUUGAGUAGAGGGGAGUGGAGUUUCAGGUGUAGCGGUGAAAUGCGUAGAGAUCUGAAGGAACACCAGUGGCGAAGGCGACUCCCUGGACUCGAACUGACGCUGAGGUACGAAAGCGUGGGUAGCAAACGGGAUUAGAAACCCUAGUAGUCC